rnacentral:rRNA from 1 species
GAUGAACGCUGGCGGCGUGCUUAACACAUGCAAGUCGAACGAAGCACUUUAUUUGAUUUCCUUCGGGACUGAUUAUUUUGUGACUGAGUGGCGGACGGGUGAGUAACGCGUGGGUAACCUGCCUUGUACAGGGGGAUAACAGAUGGAAACGGCUGCUAAUACCGCAUAAGCGCACAGCAUCGCAUGAUGCAGUGUGAAAAACUCCGGUGGUAUAAGAUGGACCCGCGUUGGAUUAGCUAGUUGGUGAGGUAACGGCCCACCAAGGCGACGAUCCAUAGCCGACCUGAGAGGGUGACCGGCCACAUUGGGACUGAGACACGGCCCAAACUCCUACGGGAGGCAGCAGUGGGGAAUAUUGCACAAUGGGCGAAAGCCUGAUGCAGCGACGCCGCGUGAGCGAAGAAGUAUUUCGGUAUGUAAAGCUCUAUCAGCAGGGAAGAUAAUGACGGUACCUGACUAAGAAGCACCGGCUAAAUACGUG